rnacentral:lncRNA from 1 species
UUAAAUUCAUGUCCAAAUUACAUUCCUCGAGGAAAGUAAUACUGUUUUAUGUUUAUGAGCUUUCUAUCUGUGUAUACAUCUACACACCAGAAGAGGGCAUCAGAUCCCAUUACAGAUGGUUGUGAGCCACCAUGUGGUUGCUGGGAAUUGAACUCAGGACCUCUGAAGAGCAGUCGGGUGCUCUUAACCUCUGAGCCAUUCCAGCCCCAGUAAUAAUAGUUUUACGUAUAUUGUUUAUGGUAAUUUCCUUAACCUGGGUUUUCCCUGGGAUAGAACUUUGUUCCCAGGCAUGAGUAUUUGUGCUGAUAACCACUUGCUACCCUUCCAUGUCCUUGUGUGGGAUGAGCAGGAUGACAGCUGAACCAUCUAUCAGUUUCCCCCAGACCCUUUGCUGUGUGCUGUGAGUUGGGUGUCUUACCGUCUUCUGGAUUGCCUAAUUGAGAGCCCCUCUCUUUAUCGCUAGAUUCCUAGCUGAUGAAGGAGAGAUAGAUAGGUUUCCCACACCUGAUCUUACGAGUCAGAACCAGUCCCCUCCCCCAACCCCCAACUUGCUGUCCUUUGGUCCUUUGUUCUGUAACAGCCUUAGAGGUUGCAGUGGUCCUGUGGUAGCUGCUCUGGAGCUCCCGUUUCUUUGUUGCAGGGCGCAAUAUGUGACUUCUGCGAAGCAUGGGUUUGCCACGGGAGGAAGUGUCUUAGCACCCACGCCUGUGCCUGCCCACUCACAGAUGCAGAGUGUGUGGAGUGUGAGCGAGGGGUGUGGGACCACGGAGGCAGAAUAUUCAGCUGUUCAUUUUGCCAUAAUUUUCUCUGUGAAGAUGACCAGUUUGAGCAUCAGGCCAGCUGCCAAGUUUUAGA